UACGGAGGAUGCAAGCGUUAUCCGGAAUCAUUGGGCGUAAAGCGUUCGUAGGUGGCUAUUCAAGUCUGCCGUUAAAGAUUGGGGCUUAACCCUAAACAGGCGGUGGAAACUGAAAGGCUAGAGUGCGGUAGGGGUAGAGGGAAUUCCCGGUGUAGCGGUGAAAUGCGUAGAGAUCGGGAAGAACACCGGUGGCGAAAGCGCUCUGCUGGGCCUGCACUGACACUGAGGGACGAAAGCUAGGGGAGCGAAUGGG
rnacentral:rRNA from 1 species